AAUUCUUAAUGGGUGGGUCACUCCGCCCGUCCACUGAUAAAGGGCACAGCUAGGGACGAGAACUAAUGUGAAUUGCAGGACGCAUUGAUCAUUGACACUUCAAUGGCACCUUGUGGGCCCUCUGGUUCUUCCCGGGGCUAUGCCUGUCUUUGUUCCU
rnacentral:rRNA from 1 species